rnacentral:rRNA from 1 species
GAUGAACGCUGGCGGCGUGCCUAAUACAUGCAAGUCGAGCGAACGGACGAGAAGCUUGCUUCUCUGAUGUUAGCGGCGGACGGGUGAGUAACACGUGGAUAACCUACCUAUAAGACUGGGAUAACUUCGGGAAACCGGAGCUAAUACCGGAUAAUAUUUUGAACCGCAUGGUUCAAAAGUGAAAGACGGUCUUGCUGUCACUUAUAGAUGGAUCCGCGCUGCAUUAGCUAGUUGGUAAGGUAACGGCUUACCAAGGCAACGAUGCAUAGCCGACCUGAGAGGGUGAUCGGCCACACUGGAACUGAGACACGGUCCAGACUCCUACGGGAGGCAGCAGUAGGGAAUCUUCCGCAAUGGGCGAAAGCCUGACGGAGCAACGCCGCGUGAGUGAUGAAAGUCUUCGGAUCGUAAAACUCUGUUAUUAGGGAAGAACAUAUGUGUAAGUAACUGUGCACAUCUUGACGGUACCUAAUCAGAAAGCCACGGCUAACUACGUGCCAGCAGCCGCGGUAAUACGUAGGUGGCAAGCGUUAUCCGGAAUUAUUGGGCGUAAAGCGCGCGUAGGCGGUUUUUUAAGUCUGAUGUGAAAGCCCACGGCUCAACCGUGGAGGGUCAUUGGAAACUGGAAAACUUGAGUGCAGAAGAGGAAAGUGGAAUUCCAUGUGUAGCGGUGAAAUGCGCAGAGAUAUGGAGGAACACCAGUGGCGAAGGCGACUUUCUGGUCUGUAACUGACGCUGAUGUGCGAAAGCGUGGGGAUCAAACAGG